AUUCUCAAUGAAAAAACUUGAUGAAAAAAUAAUUUAUAUACAGAAAUAUUAUUAAAUCGAUUGAAAAUUGACAACCUAAAAAGGAUAGAAAUAUUGUGAUUUUCUAAUUUGAAAACACAAAAGAUAUGGAACAAUUCCAUUCCAUUAAAAAAUAAAUGAAUACCUCUCUUCUUAAAUAAACAAGUUAAAAAGAACAUUAACAUGAAGUCCUCUCCCCAGUUGAGGCAAACGCAUUGGUUACUCCGCCAAUUCUGUGAGAAGGCCAGAUAAUAUGCGUGACGCGCCCACAAACCAAACCCAGAGGAAUCUGCCACAAAAUUUUGGACAAGGAAGUAGGAACUUACAACUCUUGUCUUACACGAAUCUAAACACAAUCAAACAUCAACAAACUUUUCAAUGGAUAUAUACCUAUACAAGUGUUGUAUGGAUUUCUGUCUGUAUGGACAACUUACUCAACAAUUCUAUUGAAAUCAACACCACACAUAUCUUAACCAAUGGAAAAUAUAUUUCUAAUCUCCAAAGAAUGCCAAAAUAAUACUCCCACCAUCCCCCAAAUCUUUACACCUUUGAGAAUGACACGAGUUAUAAUAAAAUGGUUGAAUGAGUUGUAAAUGAAAUAAGAGUCUCACUUUUAUUAUAAAGUUGUGUAG
rnacentral:lncRNA from 1 species